GGGGGGGGAUUAUCUAGCAAGUCGAGCGGGCGGAAGGAUCUUGCUACCUUAGCUGACGGCGGACGGGUGAGUAAGGCUUAUGAGUCUGCCUAUUAGUGGGGGACAACAUUCCGAAAGGAAUGCUAAUACCGCACACGCCCUACGGGGGAAAGCAGGGGAUCUUCGGACCUUGCGCUAAUAGAUGAGCCUAAGUCAGAUUAUCUAGUUGGUGGGGUAAAGGCCUACCAAGGCGACGAUCUGUAGCGGGUCUGAGAGGAUGAUCCGCCACACUGGGACUGAGACACGGCCCAGACUCCUACGGGAGGCAGCAGUGGGGAAUAUUGGACAAUGGGCGAAAGCCUGAUCCACCCCUGCCGCGUGUGUGAAAAAGGCCUUUUGGUUGUAAAGCACUUUAAGCGAGGAGGAGGCUACCGGGAUUAAUACUCUUGGAUAGUGGACGUUACUCGCAAAAUAAACACCGGCUAACUCUGUGCCAGCAGCCGCGGUAAUACAGAGGGUGCGAGCGUUAAUCGGAUUUACUGGGCGUAAAGCGUGCGUAGGCGGCUUUUUAAGUCGGAUGUGAAAUCCCUGAGCUUAACUUACGAAUUUGCAUUCGAUACUGGGAAGCUAGAGUAUGGGAGAGGAUGGUAGAAUUCCAGGUGUAGCGGAGAAAUGCAUAGAGAUCUGGAGGAAUACCGAUGGCGAAGGCAGCCAUCUCGCCUAAUACUGACGCUGAGGUACGAAAGCAUGGGGAGCCAACAGAUUAGAUACCCUGGUAGUCCAUGCCGCAACGAUGUUCUACUAGCCGUUGGGGUCUUUGAGGCUUUAUGGCGCAUCUUACGCGAUAAUAGACC
rnacentral:rRNA from 1 species